rnacentral:rRNA from 1 species
GUCCACGCUGUAAACGAUGAGAACUAGAUGUUAGGGUGCUUGCACUUUAGUAUCGCAGCUAACGCGUUAAGUUCUCCGCCUGGGGAGUACGGUCGCAAGAUUAAAACUCAAAGGAAUUGACGGGGGCCCGCACAAGCGGUGGAGCAUGUGGUUUAAUUCGAUGCAACGCGCAGAACCUUACCUACCUUUGAAUCCACGGAAUUCUGUAGAGAUAUAGAAGUGCCUUCGGGAACCGUGUGACAGGUGCUGCAUGGCU